AACGAACGCUGGCGGCAUGCCUAACACAUGCAAGUCGAACGAGACCUUCGGGCCUAGUGGCGCACGGGUGCGUAACGCGUGGGAACCUGCCCUUAGGUUCGGAAUAACUCCCCGAAAGGGGUGCUAAUAACGGAUAAUGUCUUCGGACCAAAGAUUUAUCGCCUUUGGAUGGGCCCGCGUUGGAUUAGCUGGUUGGUAGGGUAAACGCCUACCAAGGCGACGAUCCAUAGCUGGUCUGAGAGGAUGACCAGCCACACUGGGACUGAGACACGGCCCAGACUCCGACGGGAGGCAGCAGUAGGAAAUAUUGGACAAUGGGCGAAAGCCUGAUCCAGCAAUGCCGCGUGAGUGAUGAAGGCCUUAUGGUUGUAAAGCUCUUUUACCCGGGAUGAUAAGGACAGUACCGGGAGAAUGAGCUCCGGCUAACUCCGUG
rnacentral:rRNA from 1 species